GAUGAAGAACGUAGCGAAAUGCGAUAAGUAGUGUGAAUUGCAGAAUUCAGUGAAUCAUCGAAUCUUUGAACGCACAUUGCGCCCCUUGGUAUUCCAUGGGGCAUGCCUGUUCGAGCGUCAUUUGUACCUUCAAGCUCUGCUUGGUGUUGGGUGUUUGUCUCGCCUCUGCGUGUAGACUCGCCUUAAAACAAUUGGCAGCCGGCGUAUUGAUUUUGGAGCGCAGUACAUCUCGCGCUUUGCACUCAUAACGACGACGUCCAAAAGUACAUUUUUACACUCUUGACCUCGGAUCAGGUAGGGAUACCCGCUGAACUUAAGCAUAUCAAUAAGCGGAGGA
rnacentral:misc_RNA from 1 species